CCCAGCGCCGAUGGUCCAGAAGACGCCACAGGGAUGCUGCCUCAGCAGCUGAGCUUUUUCCAGGGGGGAUUUUCCCCGGCAGAGCCUCCUGACCCGGCGGAGGCAGCCAGGGAGACGGGUGUUAAAUAAACCAUCGCUGGGCGAAAAGGGGCAGAAAAGGGUCGCAGCAAAGGUGGCAGCUCCCGGUCGGCUCCCGCUGGAAGUGUCUCAGCUUUCCUCCUGGAGGCACCCGUGGAUAUUUUAUUUCCACUUAUGAGUCAGGCGACCCAAAAAGCCAUUUAAAAAAAAUCAAAAAUCGGAUGAAAAAAAAAAAAAACCAACAAAAAAACCAAAA